rnacentral:rRNA from 1 species
GCAAGUCGAGGGAGAAACCAUCUUCGGAUGGCAGAAACCGGCGAACGGGUGAGUAACGCGUACGAAACCUACCCUUAACCGGGGGAUAGCCUUGGGAAACUGAGAUUAAUACCCCAUAGUUUUCGAUUGUGGCAUCACAUACGAAAUAAAGUUCCGAUGGUUAAGGAUGGGCGUGCGUCCUAUUAGUUAGUUGGUGAGGUAACGGCUCACCAAGACAAUGAUAGGUAGGGGGCGUGAGAGCGUGAUC